GGGGGAGUAUGGUUGCGAAGCUGAAACUUAAAGGAAUUGACGGAAGGACACCACCAGGAGUGGAGCCUGCGGCUUAAUUUGACUCAACACGGGAAACCUCACCCGGCCCGGACACGGACAGGAUUGACAGAUUGAUAGCUCUUUCUCGAUUCCGUGGGUGGUGGUGCAUGGCCGUUCUUAGUUGGUGGAGCGAUUUGUCUGGUUAAUUCCGAUAACGAACGAGACUCUGGCAUGCUAACUAGUUACGCGACCCCCGAGCGGUCGGCGUCCCCCAACUUCUUAGAGGGACAAGUGGCGUUCAGCCACCCGAGAUUGAGCAAUAACAGGUCUGUGAUGCCCUUAGAUGUCCGGGGCUGCACGCGCGCUACACUGACUGGCUCAGCGUGUGCCUACCCUACGCCGGCAGGCGCGGGUAACCCGUUGAACCCCAUUCGUGAUGGGGAUCGGGGAUUGCAAUUAUUCCCCAUGAACGAGGAAUUCCCAGUAAGUGCGGGUCAUAAGCUUGCGUUGAUUAAGUCCCUGCCCUUUGUACACACCGCCCGUCGCUACUACCGAUUGGAUGGUUUAGUGAGGCCCUCGGAUCGGCCCCGCCGGGGUCGGCCCACGGCCCUGGCGGAGCGCUGAGAAGACGGUCGAACUUGACUAUCUAGAGGAAGUAAAGUCGUACAAGGUUUCCGUAGGUGAACCUGCGGAAG
rnacentral:ncRNA from 1 species